CCUACGGGAGGCUGCAGUGGGGAAUAUUGGACAAUGGGCGAAAGCCUGAUCCAGCCAUGCCGCGUGUGUGAAGAAGGCCUUCGGGUUGUAAAGCACUUUCAGUGGGGAAGAAAGCCUUGGGGCUAAUACCCUCGAGGAAGGACAUCACCCACAGAAGAAGCACCGGCUAACUCCGUGCCAGCAGCCGCGGUAAUACGGAGGGUGCGAGCGUUAAUCGGAAUUACUGGGCGUAAAGCGCGCGUAGGCGGUCUGAUAAGCCGGUUGUGAAAGCCCCGGGCUCAACCUGGGAACGGCAUCCGGAACUGUCAGGCUAGAGUGCAGGAGAGGAAGGUAGAAUUCCCGGUGUAGCGGUGAAAUGCGUAGAGAUCGGGAGGAAUACCAGUGGCGAAGGCGGCCUUCUGGACUGACACUGACUCUGAGGUGCGAAAGCGUGGGUAGCAAACAGGAUUAGAUACCCCAGUAGUC
rnacentral:rRNA from 1 species